AGCUGGGAUAGUAAUGGCAGGGGGGGGGGCUUUGAAUUGGGGCUUAAGUUUCGUAACGAAUCGUGCUUGAAUCUGCCUUUCUUCUGCAUCCCCUUCCAUUUUCUCCAAUUCUCUAAUUGCAAACACUGGCAAAAUGAUACUACCAGAAACAGAUAAAAGAGAACAGUAGGAAAAUGAUGUUAGGGUUUUGUGAUGUUACUGAUGAGUAAGAAAAUCAGAGACGCAAC
rnacentral:misc_RNA from 1 species